rfam:Stegodyphus mimosarum contig113749, whole genome shotgun sequence.
GCCUUCGUGGUGUAGUGGUCAGCACGCUCGGCGCGUAUUCGAGAGGCCUUUGGUUCGAGCCCAUGUGAGGGCA